AUGAGCAGUAUGGGAAAAGGUCAAAUAUGGAUAAAUGGUCAAAGUGUUGGACGUUAUUGGCCUGCAUACAAGGCAUCUGGUUCUUGUAGUACUUGUAGCUACGCGGGUUAUUUUGAUGAGAAAAAAUGCCUAAGUAAAUGUGGUGAAUCUUCACAAAAAUGGUAAGAAAGUUUCUAUCUUUUUUUUUUUUUUUUCCCUUAGUCAACAAUCCCAAAUUACCUAACCAUGGUUUGUUUUAGGUACCAUGUACCCCGAUCAUGGUUAAAACCAAGAGGAAACUUGUUGGUUGUGUUUGAAGAAUUGGGAGGAAUUCCUUAUGGGAUAUCAUUGGUGAAAAGAGGGGUUUACAGUGUGUGUGCGGAUAUAUACGAAUGGCAACCUUCAUUGAUGAAUUAUGAAAUGCAAGCUUCUGGUAAAGUCACCAAACCAUUGAGGCCAAAAGCUCAUCUUUCAUGUAGCCCUGGUCAGAAGAUUUCAUCUAUAAAGUUUGCUAGCUUU
rnacentral:lncRNA from 1 species